rfam:Helobdella robusta unplaced genomic scaffold HELROscaffold_3, whole genome shotgun sequence.
AAACUUACCUUACACAGGAGAAACCGUGAUCAAGAAGGCGGUCCUCCCAGAAUGAGACCCCACCAUUGCACUUCGGUUGGAUUGACUUCUGCGAUUACUCCAAAUGUGGGUUACUCGGGUGUGUAAUUUUUGAUAGUGGGAAAAAUGCGUUCGCGCUCCUUCCCU